rnacentral:rRNA from 1 species
GUAUCCUGGCUCAGGAUGAACGCUAGCUACAGGCUUAACACAUGCAAGUCGAGGGGCGAGCAUGGUCUUAGCUUGCUAAGGCUGAUGGCGACCGGCGCACGGGUGAGUAACACGUAUCCAACCUGCCGUCUACUCUUGGCCAGCCUUCUGAAAGGAAGAUUAAUCCAGGAUGGGAUCAUGAGUUCACAUUGUCCGCAUGAAUUUAAAGGUAUUUUCCGGUAGACGGAUGGGG